CCUACGGGAGGCAGCAGUGGGGAAUAUUGCACAAUGGGGGAAACUCUGAUGCAGCGACGCCGCGUGAAGGAAGACGUAUUUCGGGAUGUAAACUUCUAUCAGUAGGGAAGAAAAUGACGGUACCUGACUAAGAAGCCCCGGCUAACUACGUGCCAGCAGCCGCGGUAAUACGUAGGGGGCAAGCGUUAUCCGGAUUUACUGGGUGUAAAGGGAGCGUAGGCGGUUUAGCAAGUCAGAAGUGAAAGCCCGGGGCUCAACUCCGGGACUGCUUUUGAAACUGGUGAACUAGAUUGCAGGAGAGGUAAGUGGAAUUCCUGGUGUAGCGGUGAAAUGCGUAGAUAUUAGGAGGAACACCAGUGGCGAAGGCGGCUUACUGGACUGUAAAUGACGCUGAGGCUCGAAAGCGUGGGGAGCAAACAGGAUUAGAUACCCCAGUAGUC
rnacentral:rRNA from 1 species